rnacentral:lncRNA from 1 species
CUGUUGGUGGCCUUUUGCUGUUGUUUUUCUAUGGUCGGGUUGUUGUCUCUUUGACACAUUCCCAAUUUCCUUUCUCAAUUUUAUCACUUACACACUAGCACAUUCACAUUAACGGUUGUGAUGGAAAUAAAAUACACAUACAAGGUUUGCAAUUUUAUAUUGAUAUAGUUAGUCCCAGUUCCUCCAGAACUUUUGUAAUAAAAUAUAUUUACAUAUACACCAACAUCUUCAAGUGUUUAUUAACUUCUGUAAACUCUCAGUUGACGAAACUUCAUUUCAGCAGACAUGUUGACUGUUUGGUAACUCCAG